CAAAAAGUCAUUACUCGAAAAUACAUUGUCCCCAAAAAAAUUGGGCUCAAACAAGGGCUUAAUGAAAGUCAUAAACUUAAUUAAUUUGGACCCACACUACAUCAUCAUCUCAUUAUAUUGUCAAUAAAAUUAUAGAAAAUUACACAUAAUCCUAAUUUUUAAAUUAUCAUAUCAAAAAUCAGAUUUUAACUUUAUUCUUUCAAAAAUUAGAUAUACCUUACCACCCCACUCUUUAACCCUAAUUCAUUUUCUAUCCAAACAAAAUGUCACAAAACUCCUCCAGUACCUUCCUUAUUCUCCAAUUGUCUGUCACUUCUCCUUAGCGUAUCCUCUUCAUCUCUCCAAAGAAAAAACUUUCUUCAAGCCUCCGACCUUGGGGGACUGAGCUAGAGAGGUUGUAGUCGAGGAUGACCGAUGAUGGUGUCGGGGAAGUAUUAGGAUGAUCACAAAAAAUGAGAAAUGGAAAAAAGCUAUAGAGAGAGAAACUACAACGUGCGUAACGCUGCGUAGGAGCAUCGCGCAUAACGACGAUGAGCGCCACUUGCCAUCGUUGCGAAGUCAUACUGCUCUUCCUCCGACUUGCCUCUGAUCUAAUCUGCCUAACUAUUGCAUCCCUGCUUAGCCAGAGUUUUGAGGCGGUUGUUGGUGUUUUACAAAUAGUAAUAAUGAUAGUUUGCAAUUUGCAAAUGAUGGUUGCUGGUGGUUUGCAAAUGAAUGACGAUAUUUAGAUUAUCACGCCAAAGUUAAUUCGGAAAAAAAAUUAUUGCUGCUAUAAUCAUAGCCCCGUUUGAUCCUCAUUAUUUAAUAAUUCAUUUUUUCUCUUAAUUAUUUUUAACCACAUUUUAACAAUAAAAUAAUUUGCACGUAAUUUUUUUUAACUACACA
rnacentral:lncRNA from 1 species